ensembl:lncRNA novel transcript
GGAGCAGGCUCUUAAAGGGGGCGACGGCUUGCGGCCGCAGACCAGGCCCGUGGGGAGUGAAUGUUCGGGACGGUGCUCGAGAGCGCUACUGUUUGGAGUUACAGAUUCUGGCUUGUGCGAUGGCUUGCCGGAACCAAAGCGAACAAAAUAUUCGAACUUUCUUCCGAACACGGUGGUGGACUCUGUUCUGCCAUAAAGUCCUGAUCCUUCCCUGAUCGACUCCGCCCUCACCAGCCACACCACCGUUUCCAGGCCGGCCACACCUGUAAGCGACCCCCCUCAACCCUGGCAAAAAUAGAGAUGGUGGCCAUACGCGGCGGAGGACACCCCUGGAUAACAAAUAGUAUUACUGCAAAGUAUUUGGCAAUCAUUAUUUUUGGAUGAGCCGCUUUCCCCGCUAGAGUCACAUACACUCUUAGCAGCUGUCAGUUCUAACCCCAAAGAAAAGGGGGAUUCUAAAAGUUUUUGCCUAGGUUUUUGGCUUCUUUUCAAGGAAUCGUGUCUAGAUACAAAGUUAUUGGUUGUCCUCUAAAGCUGGCAUCUUUCACUUUGUUCUCUAGAUUCUAGAACAAACCCAGUUAUCAAAUAAGUUAAAUGGAAGAUGUUACAGGUUCUCCACAAUGAUUUUUUUUUCCUUUUUUUUUUCCAUUUCCAUUUUUCCAUUACAAGGACUGACCAGUCCACCCUUGGAAAAAUCGAGCAAGUUCUGAAAAUAAAAAGAAAGAAGUCCUGUGUUCCCAUGAUGAUGUCAUAAUUUCAUUUCGUGUCAAGGUAAAAAUAUAGUGCUAGGGAGUUCCAGAAUUUUCUGGUCAGUCAACAACUUAGUCCAUCUACUGGUCCUUAUAAGUAUAUCAGGACACAAUUACCACGGGGUUGCCCAGGGUCCUGGACUGGAAACAUGGAGUCACUUCCAGUUAGUUCCACCGAAGCUCCACCACAGACCUGCCUGAGGACUCUGGGUAAAUAACCUCAGGCCGCUUCAGUGUCUCCACUGCUGAAAAGGGGGAAGUCACAUACACAUCUGCGUUAUUGUACAGACGAUAAAUGACAACUUCUCAGCCACAAUCUGAAUGAGAAAACUAAGCACUGCUUUCUUGGAGUCCAUGUGGAACCCUGGGCCUGAUCCUGCCCCGGGGUUGGUCAAGCAAUGAAUUUAUUUAGGAAAAAUACCAGUGAAGAGUGGGCUUGAUCAUGACCAAUUCACAAUCUCCAGAGGAUGUGAUGGCUCAAUAGCAUUACCUGUGCCCACAACUGAUGGUAACUGAGACAGCAGGCUCUGAGACCCAGAGUUCCUCCCCUCUAGGAAUUUUCAGCCCACGUAGAGGAAGAUAUAAAAUAAUGACACGAAUAAUUACAAAACCAAAUAGCAUAUAUUGAGUAAUGACACAAGAAUUUUUCUCUUCUCUUUUUCUUUGCAAGUUAUUAGUCACUAUAAAGCAAUGGCUAAGAGCACAGGCUGAGGAGGCUGGCUUCCUAGGUUGGAAUCCCAGCUUCACCUUUCACUUGCUGCAUGGCCUCUGGAAAAUUACUUCACUUCUCUGUGCUGCCGUCUUUUUUAUUACAAAAUAAUCAGCCGGGUGUGGUGGCUCACGCCUGUAAUCCUAUCACUUUGGAAGGACAAGGUGGGCGGAUCACUUGAGAUCAGGAGUUCAAGACCAGCCUGGCUAAUAUGGUGAAACCCUGUCUCUACUAAAAAAAAAAAUACAGUAAUUAGCCUGGCAUGGCGGCAGGUGCCUGUAAUCCCAGCUACUCGGAAGGCUGAGGCAGGAGAAUUGCUUGAACACAGGAGGCAGAGGUUGCAGUGAGCCGAGAUCACACCAUUGUACUCCAGCCUGGGCAACAGAGUGAGACUCUGUCUCAAAAAAUACAAUAAAAUAAAUAUAAAUAUAAUAAUAA